rnacentral:rRNA from 1 species
UAACGAAUCUUCCGCAAUGCACGAAAGUGUGACGGAGCGACGCCGCGUGGAGGACGAAGUUCUUCGGAAUGUAAACUCCUGUCAGGGGAAAGAAAGUUCUGAUCUACCCCAGAGGAAGAGGCGGCUAACUCUGUGCCAGCAGCCGCGGUAAUACAGAGGCCUCGAGCGUUAGACGGAAUCACUGGGCUUAAAGCGUGUGUAGGCGGAAGGGUAAGUACCUUGUGAAAUCCCACGGCUUAACCGUGGAGCGGCUUGGUAUACUGCUUUUCUUGAGCAAUCUAGGGGCGAGUGGAACAGAUGGUGGAGCGGUGAAAUGCGUAGAUAUCAUCUGGAACGCCAAUGGUGAAGACAACUCGCUGGGGAUUUGCUGACGCUGAGACACGAAAGCCAGGGGAGCGAACGGGAUUAGAUACCCAGGUAGUCCCUGAGCGGGCUGGCAAGGCGCAU